rnacentral:rRNA from 1 species
AACGAACGCUGGCGGCAUGCCUAACACAUGCAAGUCGAACGAACCCUUCGGGGUUAGUGGCGCACGGGUGCGUAACACGUGGGAAUCUGCCCUUUGCUUCGGAAUAACAGUUAGAAAUGACUGCUAAUACCGGAUAAUGUCUUCGGACCAAAGAUUUAUCGGCAAAGGAUGAGCCCGCGUAGGAUUAGCUUGUUGGUGAGGUAAAGGCUCACCAAGGCGACGAUCCUUAGCUGGUCUGAGAGGAUGAUCAGCCACACUGGGACUGAGACACGGCCCAGACUCCUACGGGAGGCAGCAGUAGGGAAUAUUGGGCAAUGGGCGGAAGCCUGACCCAGCCAUGCCGCGUGAAGGAAGACGGCCUUAUGGGUUGUAAACUUCUUUACUAUGCGACUAACUAGAUUUACGAGAUAAUUCUAUAGAAUGUAGCAUAGCAAAAGCACCGGCUAACUCCGUG